rnacentral:rRNA from 1 species
UACGGAGGAUCCAAGCGUUAUCCGGAUUCACUGGGUUUAAAGGGUGCGUAGGCGGAAUGACAAGUCAGUGGUGAAAACCUGCAGCUUAACUGUAGAACUGCCAUUGAUACUGUUAUUCUUGAGUACAUUUGAUGUGAGUGGAAUGUGUCGUGUAGCGGUGAAAUGCUUAGAUAUGACACAGAACACCAAUUGCGAAGGCAGCUCACAAAACUGUAACUGACACUGAGGCACGAAAGCGUGGGGAGCAAACAGG